rnacentral:rRNA from 1 species
GACGAACGCUGGCGGCGUGCCUAAUACAUGCAAGUAGAACGCUGAAGGAGGAGCUUGCUUCUCUGGAUGAGUUGCGAACGGGUGAGUAACGCGUAGGUAACCUGCCUGGUAGCGGGGGAUAACUAUUGGAAACGAUAGCUAAUACCGCAUAAUAGCAGUUGUUGCAUGACAACUGUUUGAAAGGUGCAAAUGCAUCACUACCAGAUGGACCUGCGUUGUAUUAGCUAGUUGGUGGGGUAACGGCUCACCAAGGCGACGAUACAUAGCCGACCUGAGAGGGUGAUCGGCCACACUGGGACUGAGACACGGCCCAGACUCCUACGGGAGGCAGCAGUAGGGAAUCUUCGGCAAUGGACGGAAGUCUGACCGAGCAACGCCGCGUGAGUGAAGAAGGUUUUCGGAUCGUAAAGCUCUGUUGUAAGAGAAGAACGAGUGUGAGAGUGGAAAGUUCACA